UACGGGAGGCAGCAGUGGGGAAUAUUGCACAAUGGGCGAAAGCCUGAUGCAGCUAUGCCGCGUGUAUGAAGAAGGCCUUAGGGUUGUAAAGUACUUUCAUCGGGGAGGAAAAACAAAACUAAUAAUUUUAUUUCUUGACGUUACCCGAAAAAGAAGCACCGGCUAACUCCGUGCCAGCAGCCGCGGUAAUACGGAGGGUGCUAGCGUUAAUCAGAAUUACUGGGCGUAAAGAGCACGUAGGUGGUUUUUUUAAGUCAGAUGUGAAAUCCCUGGGGCUUAACCUAGGAAACUGCAUUUUUGAAAACUGAAAUACUAGAGUAUCGUAGAGGGAGGUAGAAUUCUAGGUGUAGCGGUGAAAUGCGUAGAUAUCUGGAGGAAUACCUGUGGCGAAAGCGGCCUCCUAAACGAAUACUGACACUGAGGUGCGAAAGCGUGGGGAGCAAACAGGGAUUAGAUACC
rnacentral:rRNA from 1 species